UCCCUGAUAGCUUAGUUGGUAAAGAAUCUGCCUGAAAUGCAGGAGACCUGGGUUCAAUCCCUGGGUUGGGAA
rnacentral:tRNA from 1 species